rnacentral:rRNA from 1 species
UACGAAGGGUGCAAGCGUUAUUCGGAAUGAUUGGGCGUAAAGGGUGCGCAGACGGUCGGUUAAGUCAACUGUAAAAUCUCCCAGCCUAACUGGGAAUCCGCAGUAGAAACUGAUUGACUAGAGGGUGGAAGAGAGAAGUGGAAUUCUCGGAGUAGCGGUAAAAUGCGUAGAUCUCGAGAGGAACACCGAUGGCGAAGGCAGCUUCUUGGUCCAUUUCUGACGUUCAAGCACGAAAGCGUGGGGAGCAAACAGG